AUCUGUAAUGUAACAGAAAUAUUUCUUUAUUUUAUGUUAACCAACACUAUUAAAAAACUUUAUCGAAAUAUCGAUUGAAUAUUAAACAUCACUGUAAAAGAAAGAGGAAGCGUAAGAACACAAAGUUUUUAAAGCUCUCUUCUUUCUUUUUUCUCGCUCUCUUUUGUUUAUAUAUAAUUUAAAUAAAUAUAAUUUAUGAAUUUAUUAUAAAAAUAAAAGACGUGUUUGUGUUUUGAGUGCUCUAAAAAAAGAGCAAUGUGAAAAAAUAUGACGAAAUUACAAAAUAAAUCGACAAUUACAACCAUUGAGAUGUAGCGCAACAAAACUUGAAAAACUAACGAAUAGAAAAAUUCAGAAAAGAAAUUUCACCAAAAAUUCAGCUCCCAAAUGUACUGAAAUACACACAACCACACACCCUCGCACACACACAAACGCACACGCACACAGUAAGCCAACAACACUGGCAGCGAUACGUAAAAAAGUUAACAGAGCAACAGAAUCACGGGCCUGACUCGGGGCUCGUUCCUGAUGCUGGCUCUGGCUGAAUGUCCGGAGCAAAUGAAGGUGUCAAAAUGACAAGCAGACACAGCAAAAAAAAGCAGAAAAAAUAAAGAAACGAAGCCCUUGGACAAACACAAACACACACUCACACACAUAGACAGACACACACAUACAUACAUAUAUAGAAGAGCGCCUGCCUGGUCGGACGUGUAGUGGACGGAUGGAUGGAUGGAUAGCUCGGGCUGCCUGGACGGACGGGUCGAGCUGUCUGUCUGCUUGUCUGACUGGCUAACUGUAUAAACGCCAAAACGACAGCAGCAUUUGCUAACUUGCAGCUUCAACAAUAACAAUAACAACAUCAGCAGCAGAAGCAGCAAUAGUAAAAAGAAAAUACAAUAAAAACAAUACAAAUAC